CCUACGGGGGGCAGCAGUGGGGAAUCUUGCACAAUGGGGGAAACCCUGAUGCAGCGACGCCGCGUGAACGAUGAAGCCCUUCGGGGUGUAAAGUUCUUUCGACGGGGACGCGGUACCCGGAGAAGAAGCUGCGGCUAACUACGUGCCAGCAGCCGCGGUAAUACGUAGGCAGCAAGCGUUGUUCGGAAUUACUGGGCGUAAAGAGUGCGUAGGCGGUUAACUAAGUUUGGUGUGAAAUCUCCCGGCUUAACUGGGAGGGUGCGCCGAAAACUGGCUAGCUAGAGUGUGGGAGAGGAUAGUGGAAUUCCUGGUGUAGCGGUGAAAUGCGUAGAUAUCAGGAGGAACACCUGCGGUGUAGACGGCUAUCUGGACCAUACUGACGCUGAGGCACGAAAGCGUGGGUAGCAAACAGGAUUAGAUACCCUUGUAGUC
rnacentral:rRNA from 1 species